rnacentral:lncRNA from 1 species
CAGCGCCUCUGACCUUACUGUUCACCUAAGCAGCGGUGGGACAUCUGAAGGAGCCUUAAUUCCUGAUGCAAAAUACAACAGAGAGAGAUGAAUGCUUGAAGAUGUCUAAGAAGGUUUCAUCAGCAGCAGGAAGAGAGAAGGCACAGAAAAAAAUCACCAGAAAUUCCUCCAGAAAAUUGCUUCUUAUACUGUCCUCUAGAUUGGCUUAACCCUGAAGUGCAGGUUGACCUGAAUUCAGCUAUGAGAAAUGUCAUUUUGACUUAGUCCAAACAGAAAUCAUCCUGCCUGCUACCCACAACCAGCCGAGCUGCGCAGUCUGGAGGUCUGGGUGGGUGGCAAACCAUGGAGGCCUCUGCAAGGAAGUGGCACUUGUAGAUAAUCCCUUGUGAAUUCUCAUUACACGAAUUGCAAAGUGGUGGUGAUGACAGAUGUGGACAACGGGCUUUCUCAGCGUGUGACAGCCUGUCUGCAUUCAGUGAGCCAAGCUCCAGCCAUCCCUACACAUACUGCUGAUCUCAGCUGAGUGUUGAGGUGCUGUUUUGUGUGGGAGAGAUGUGGAUGUGCUGCAGAAUGAUUUUUGUAGCAGUGAAUUUACUAAUGCACAGAAUAGACUCCUUUUACAACACAAUGCACUCAAUAUUUCUGAUGAAGUGCUGCCAGUUUCUUGAUAGUCGAGCCAUCAACUUUUGGACAAAAUAAUUGCUGGCAAUAUUUUGUGAUUACUCAUUGUUUUCCACCUGCCUCUGAAAGAGUGAAUUAAUUAAGUUUCUCAACAGCCAUAUGAAGCAAGUGUUACAUUAAUUAAAACACGCAUGGCUCUGGAGAACCUACUGUCCAUCCAAGAAGUCAUACUUUAGCCAAAUAAAAUGCAAGUCAGCUUUCUGGUGCAGUGUUGAAACCAAAUGAGAAAUGCAUCUGCGUACCAAACUGUUACAGUGCUCAAAGUGAAAGUCAGAUAAUCACAUUUUACGGGCUCUGCUCCACAUUGUUGUUUUCCAUUGGAAAUCCAUACCAAUAACAAGACAAUAGAAAGAACAACCCACAUAGAGCUACUGCAAGCCUCUAAAU